rnacentral:lncRNA from 1 species
UCUAGUGCCAGCACAUACCCAGACUGUGUGAUCCCAUUUCUCGUUGGAAUGAACAUGGAAAACAACUAAGUUUCCAGAGAUGGCUUCAUCUUCUUGAUUCAUAUUUUGCCAUAUUUUAUGAAUUUCCAAUUUUUUUUAGACUUCAUAUAAUUGGCAUUUAAAUGAGACUCCAGAUCUGAAAUUCAACCUCCUUGGACUGAACUGACCUCCGGAGGUUUUCCACAGAUUUGGACAAAUCACUCAGAGGACUCCAGUGGUCAUGAUUAAAUGUUGGCAGAUGUGGGAAUGGAUGCCAGGGCUUAGCAUUUUCAGGAAAUACGAGGCUAUUUUCUAACAUUGCUGCACCUUGUACAGUAGAGUCCUGGCAGUGUCACCAGCACACAUAGCUCAAAGCCAGUAGCAUCACUGCCACCAACAAGGUCUUAGAAAUGCUAAUGUCAAUCAAGUUAACAAUGGAGAUCAGACCAUCAUAAUUUUUAAAAUCCAGUCAUCCAGUACAACCACUAUCAGUCACUGCUAUGAUAUUGUACAUGGACAGGGAUGAGACAACUUAAAAUAUACCAUCUUGCCAAUUCUUUUUGACUCUUUGUUUUG